UGUUUUUAUACAAAGCAACUAUGUUGAUGGU
rnacentral:piRNA from 1 species